AACCGCCCGGUGCGGACCCGCAUGCCGGGUGGUGUAGCAGGGACGCAGCCUUGUGCUGCCCCCUAUGCCGAU
rnacentral:autocatalytically_spliced_intron from 1 species